GACGAACGCUGGCGGCGUGCUUAACACAUGCAAGUCGAGCGGUAAGGCCCUUUCGGGGGUACACGAGCGGCGAACGGGUGAGUAACACGUGGGUGACCUGCCCUCAGCUCUGGGAUAAGCCUGGGAAACUGGGUCUAAUACCGGAUAUGACUCCAUGACGCAUGUUGUGGGUGGAAAGCCUUGUGCGGCUGAGGAUGGGCCCGCGGCCUAUCAGCUUGUUGGUGGGGUGAGGCCUACCAAGGCGACGACGGGUAGCCGGCCUGAGAGGGCGACCGGCCACACUGGGACUGAGACACGGCCCAGACUCCUACGGGAGGCAGCAGUGGGGAAUCUUGCGCAAUGGGCGAAAGCCUGACGCAGCGACGCCGCGUGAGGGAU
rnacentral:rRNA from 1 species